UCCGUAGGUGAACCUGCGGAGGGAUCAUUACUGAGUUUACGCUCUACAACCCUUUGUGAACAUACCUACAACUGUUGCUUCGGCGGGUAGGGUCUCCGCGACCCUCCCGGCCUCCCGCCUCCGGGCGGGUCGGCGCCCGCCGGAGGAUAACCAAACUCUGAUUUAACGACGUUUCUUCUGAGUGGUACAAGCAAAUAAUCAAAACUUUUAACAACGGAUCUCUUGGUUCUGGCAUCGAUGAAGAACGCAGCGAAAUGCGAUAAGUAAUGUGAAUUGCAGAAUUCAGUGAAUCAUCGAAUCUUUGAACGCACAUUGCGCCCGCCAGCAUUCUGGCGGGCAUGCCUGUUCGAGCGUCAUUUCAACCCUCAAGCUCUGCUUGGUGUUGGGGCCCUACAGCCGAUGUAGGCCCUCAAAGGUAGUGGCGGACCCUCCCGGAGCCUCCUUUGCGUAGUAACUUUACGUCUCGCACUGGGAUCCGGAGGGACUCUUGCCGUAAAACCCCCCAAUUUUCCAAAGGUUGACCUCGGAUCAGUAGAUCCUCGA
rnacentral:rRNA from 1 species